GGCAACUUGGCCGAGUGGUCUAAGGCGACGCACUCAAGAAUCUUAACACCAUUCUUCUCUUUCUUAGAAAGAGUGCAUUGCGUUCUCGAGAGGGGCGUGAGUUCGAAUCUCACAGUUGUCA